rnacentral:lncRNA from 1 species
AGACGCCUGCCCUUUUACUCUUGGUGGGGCUUCGAGCAAACACAGCUGUCAGAUGGGGCUGCUGGGGCUGCAGGAUGGCACGUCCCUGUGGGGAAAGGUACACGCCCUUAGGAUACUUGGGGAGUCCCUUCCCUGGCUUGAGGCCUAAGGUGAGGUCAGGGCAGGGCACUGACCUGCUAAUGCCAGGUGACCGUGAGCCAGGAGAGUGGAAAGGCCAGAUCUUGCUGGGGCUUAAGCUGCAGGAGGGUAAGGGCAUCCUGGGGCGAGGGCUGCAAUGCUGCUGGGCCCCCAGGCCAGGUCUCCUCUGCUGGUCCCUGUCCUUCAGGACAAGGAAGGCACCGACUCGCUGGCUCCCGCUGGCCUGCUGUGCGCCCCCCAGGGCCUGACCCUCGAUGGUGUCUGA